CAGACACUCAAAUCACUCUGAGCUUUUAAACAACAGCGUCUCAGUUUAUUCAGAAAAGAGAGCUAUCAGGUGCGGAAUAAUCUCCAUUUCGAGGCCGACAGGAAAGGCCCGCAGUUCUCUCCCCUCGCUCUGCAGGCGCUCCCAGGACAGGCACCGGUGUCCCCGAGUCCUCUGGGAAGUGGAGUCCUUCCGCCGGGACCCCCGACCCGGCGCGGUCGCCUCCAAGUGCGCAGAUGCGACUCCAGACGGAGCCUCGGGCUUGAGCCUUUUGUCUCCCCGCAGCUCAGUGGGUCCGGAAGGCGACUGUGUCCGCCCUUCCCGCCCCUCCCAGAGCGCAGCCCGGCGGGAGUCUAGCCCUGGGGCCGGAGCCGGGUCCGCAGCGCGUCCGGGGUGAAUAAGGAGGAAGUCAUAGCAAUAUCAGGACAACAAAGAGAAGCUGAUCAUAGAUCAUCUGACCAUUGAAGUUGAAGAAAAAGGAAUUGACAACAGUCAAGGAUGAGGAAAUGAACUUCACCCAUGUGGAGGAGGAACAGCUGAAUUCUGCCCAAAGAUUCUGAAUCUAUCCCUGAAAUGAAAGUGUCCCUUUCAAAGCAGGAAGUCUGUGAAGAAGUAUCAUCUGAAAGGGAGCUGAUAAUAGGAAGACUUACAAAGGAUGAUUCCUGGAACUUCAGAUUGAUAAAAGCCUGGGAAUGUGGAGGCACAUUACAAAGGCAGCAGGGAAACUGGCAAGUCAUAAUUAAACUCAAGAGAAACACUAUGGAGGAUUGUAAUGAAAUCAGGGAAGGUUCAAACACAAUUAAACAUCAGAAAGUUUACUCAGUGAAAAAGCCUUGGAAGUGCAGUGAGUGUGGCAAGUCCUUCAGUUACUACUCACCAGAGGAUUCAUACAGGAGAGAAGCUAUAUGUAUGUUCUGAAUGUGGAAAGGCCUUCAGCUGGAGCUCGUCACUUAUCCAGCAACAGAGAAUCCACACUGGAGAGAAAGCCUAUGAGUGUCACGAAUGUCGAAAAGCUUUCAGUCAUCGUUCAGCCCUUAUUCAACAUCAUAUCAUUCAUACCAGAGAAAAGCCCUGUGCGUGCAACGAAUGUGGGAAGGCAUUCAACCAAAGCACAUACCUUAUCCAACAUCACAGAAUAUGUGAUGAGAAAGAGAGAAACCCUAUAAAUGCAAGGAGUGUGGGAAAGCUUUCAUUGACACCUCAUCCCUUAUUCAACAUCAAAGGGUUCAUACUGGAGAAAAACCCUA